rnacentral:miRNA from 1 species
ACUGUGUGAGGGAGUCAGAGAGUUAAGAGAAUCAGUACAGGUGAGAUUGUACUGAUUCUCUUAACUCUCUGACCCCCUCACUCAGU